UACGUAGGGUGCAAGCGUUGUCCGGAAUUAUUGGGCGUAAAGAGCUCGUAGGCGGUUUGUCGCGUCUGCUGUGAAAACCCGAGGCUCAACCUCGGGCCUGCAGUGGGUACGGGCAAACUAGAGUGCGGUAGGGGAGAAUGGAAUUCCUGGUGUAGCGGUGGAAUGCGCAGAUAUCAGGAGGAACACCGAUGGCGAAGGCAGUUCUCUGGGACGGUACUGACGCUGAGACGCGAAAGCGUGGGGAGCGAACAGG
rnacentral:rRNA from 1 species